AGAUUGAUCGGAAUAUGUAAAAACUUCUAAUUUUUCCAAGGGGGUUCAACUCCUCCACAAUCUU
rnacentral:tRNA from 1 species